GAGGGAUCUACUAUUUCUCUAAUGAAACCUCAAAAGAAUAUGGAUUACUCUAAGAAUGGGAGGCAGUCUCAUGUUUCAGGUGUGACUCAGCCAUCCCAUUGGACAGACACAUCAGAAAUAUAGAAAAAGCAAAAAGGUGAGAGGAAGGUCAAAUGAACUAGGAGAAUAAGAUGUUUUUAAAAAUCCAUUUAAAAAUUUAAGGAAACUUACAAGAAGUUAGAUCAGCAUAACAGGAGUCACCUCUUGGCAUUGAACCAUCAACUGAUUAUCCCAUGAUCUCAUCACAGUGUAGCAAAUUGAAUGUAUUUUAUAGACUAGAGGUCUUGGAAUUAUUUCAAGAAAGAAAAGCCACACAAGGUGAAUACCUUGUCACCAACUGGUCACCAGCAGAGUAGUCCGUGCCACAUUGAAAAACCAGGUCAUGAUGAGAAGGUCUCUCCAAAGGAAGUGGAGUGAGGAGCUUCUGAGAAGGGAAAGGACUAUUAUUCCAGUUCUGUCUCAAGGACUGCUCUGUAAACAUCGUGACCCGUCCAGCCAGUACCUCAAUAGUGUUGCUGCAAGAGCCAAAGACUCGGAAAAAGGCCUGAGUUUCAUGGAGCAAGAAGCGCACUUCCAAGAUCUCUGGUCUCGGCUUCAGCAAGUUUUCCUGGCUCAGGAGAUCAGCCAGGGAGUGGAGCUCAUAGAAGUCUGCUUCUCUUUGCAGCCUCUGAUAGUCUGAAAAGUCCGUGGGCAGAGAAAGCUGGAGUGUCCUCAAAAAAUCCAAGAUGUAAUUAAACAAAGUUCCAUCUCUGUCCACAAAGAAUUGUCCAUUCACCAGCCUGAAUUCAUGGUCAUUGCCAUUCAACAUCCGUGCUAACCUGGACUCUGGGAACCUCCGCAGGGUGGAAACCCAUGUUGUAAAUUUUGAGCCUCCCACAUUCAGAAUGGCCACUUCUUGAUUGCUCAUAUUGUCUCUCCACCAAUCAAGGUUAACACUGACCUAUGUCUUUCUAACCAGACUAUUCCUAAACUGCAACUGGGACUACAAGUAUCAUUCAGUAAUCUUACUGCAUGUUUGGGAUAAGGUGUGUAGCACCACUAGGGUUCCUAGGCAACAAGAAGCGUAAAUACAACUAAAGAUAGCUGUUUGCAGGUCCUAGUUGCUUGGGAACUUGGACUCUUGAAACAAAAAUAAAAAAUGAACAGCUUCCAAAGACUGUUGAAAAAUGGUUGACUGACUCCAAGUUUUGAAAAACCCUGAUAAAAACCAAGAACUAUCCCCAAAAGCAAGACAUUCAGUAUAAAUAUUUGAGCUUUACAGAACCACCACAAGAAGAUUUCUAUACCACUGUGGGUGACCCACUGCUAAAAGAAAUGUUAAAUAUACUUUAAGGCAACUCCACAAUCAUGCUCUGAAAUGAGAACCUUUCAGAGAAGUUGGAAGUGUAUUUCACUAAAUGUUUCUGAUCUGAAAGGAUUUGAUGAUUAAUAUGUUUGUAUGAAAUAUCCAUACAGAGAUAUGGUAAUGAUUUA